rnacentral:rRNA from 1 species
CCUACGGGCGGCAGCAGUGGGGGAUAUUGCACAAUGGGGGAAACCCUGAUGCAGCGACGUCGCGUGGGUGAAGAAGCGCCUCGGCGCGUAAAGCCCUGUCAGCAGGGAAGAAAAUGACGGUACCUGAAGAAGAAGCCCCGGCUAACUACGUGCCAGCAGCGGCGGUACUACGGAGGGGGCAAGCGUUAUCCGGAUUUACUGGGUGUAAAGGGGGCGCAGACGGGGUUGCAAGCCAGUAGUGAAGGCCCGGGGCCCAACCUCGGGACUUCUCUUGGAACUGCGUGGCUAGAGUGCAGGAGGGGCAGGCGGAAUUCGUGGUGUAGCGGUGAAAUGCGUAGAUAUCAGGAGGAACACCGGUGGCGAAGGCAGCCUGCUGGACUGCAACUGACGUUGAGGCCCGAAAGCGUGGGGAGCAAACAGGAUUAGAUACCCUAGUAGUC